rnacentral:lncRNA from 1 species
GCAAGCCAGAGUGUGCCAGAGGAGUGCUGGAGCUCCCAGCUUCCCUUUCUAGAUGAAAUUGCUGAUGCUGUAGGGAUCUUUUCAGCAAAGACCUUGGCAAAAUAAAUAGAGGGUUAAAGGAGGACGCUAGUGGUUAUUUGGAAAUGCAUAGGAUUUAACCAUGUCAGAGAUUCAAAUCUCUGUAAAAUUCUAGAACACUGAACCUAGACUUCAUGAACUGAAGGGAUGGCUGCUGUUAGACACAAAUAGGUUUGAAUCCACCAGCAUGGAGCAAAAUGAAGAACACUGAACUAGAGAAUCACCGGAUUUAGCUUCAAAUCUUAACUCUACUAUGACUUUAGAAAAUUCUCUUAAUUUCUCUGGGUUUGUUUCCAUCCUUUGAACUAAGGAGAUUGGCCUAGGUUAUAAGUCUAAUAUCUCUUUGAGUUUUAAAUUUAUUGUUUCACCUGCAUAUGCAGGUAUCCAGUUUGUCUCUCUGUCUCUCCAAAAAAGAUGUUAUACAAAUAUAUAUUUCAUCUGGAUAUCCACUAGCUAUCUCUUAUUCAAUAUAGGUACAGUAAAAAUUUUUUUCUUCCCUCUGUCCCAAAAAUAUACAUCCUACAGCUUCCUGUGACUGUUGAAGAAACUACCAUCUUCCUAGUCGCCCCGCUUCACAAUCUCAACUUGACAUUAAAAGCUCUGUGGAACUGGGCUCCCCCCUUCCUUUGCAGAUUUUUUUUUCUACUCACCUUCACACAUGUUCUGGAC